rnacentral:misc_RNA from 1 species
UCCGGUUUGUCACCGGCAGUCUCCUAUGAGUCCCCGACAUCACUCGCUGGCAACAUAGGACAGGGGUUGCGCUUGUUGCGGGACUUAACCCAACAUCUCACGACACGAGCUGACGACAGCCAUGCACCACCUGUACACCGGCCCCGAAGGGCUGCCGUAUUUCUACGGCAUUCCGGUGCAUGUCAAGCCUUGGUAAGGUUCUUCGCGUCGCGUCGAAUUAAACCACAUGCUCCGCUGCUUGUGCGGGUCCCCGUCAAUUCCUUUGAGUUUUAACCUUGCGGCCGUACUCCCCAGGCGGAGAACUUAAUGCGUUAGCUGCGCCACCGAAGACCUAAGGCCCCCGACAGCUAGUUCUCAUCGUUUACGGCGUGGACUAC